rnacentral:rRNA from 1 species
AUGGCAACCGUCCAGCAGAUCCGUCACGCGCAGCGCUCGGACGGCCCGGCGGCCGUGCUUGCAAUCGGCACAGCGAACCCGGCGAGCUGCAUGCUCCAGAACGACUACGCCGACUACUACUUCCGCGUCACCAACAGCGAGCACCACGCCGACCUCAAGGACAAGCUCAAGAGAAUCUGUAAGAAUUCGGGCAUCGAGAGGCGCUACGUGCACCUCGACGAGGAGCUCCUCGGCGCGCACCCGGACUUCAGCGACCGCGCGCUGCCGACCCUCGACGCGCGGAUAGACAUGGCCUCGGCCGCGGUGCCCGAGCUCGCCGCGUCCGCCGCGGCCAGGGCCAUCGCCGAGUGGGGGCGCCCGGCCGCCGACGUCACGCACCUCGUCUUCAGCACCUACUCCGGCGGGAAGGCCCCCAGCGCCGACCUCCGCCUGGCGUCGCUGCUCGGCCUCCGCCCCACCGUGUCCCGCACCAUCCUCAGCCUCAACGGCUGCUCCGGUGGCGGCAGGGCGCUGCAGCUCGCCAAGGAGCUCGCCGAGAACAACCGCGGCGCGCGCGUCCUCGUGGCCUGCUCCGAGCUCACCCUCAUCGGGUUCUACGGGCCCCAGGAGGGUCGCCUCGACACCAUCCUGGGCAACGGCAUAUUCGGCGACGGCGCGGGCGCCGUCAUCGUCGGCGCCGACCCCGUCGACUGCAUUGAGCGCCCGCUGUUCGAGAUGGCCUUCGCCACGCAGACGACGAUACCGGAGACCGAGAACGAGAUCACCACGCGGCUCAUGAAAGGCGGCCUCGACUUCCACGUCUCCAUCCGGGUGCCGAAGCUGCUGAAGAGCAACAUCGAGCGCUGUCUGAUCGACACGUUCAAAUCUAUUGGGAUCAGUGCUGAGUGGAACGAUCUCUUCUGGGCGAUCCACCCUGGUGGCCGUGCGAUUUUGGACCACGUUGAGCAACUGCUCGGGCUGGGCGUCGAGAAGCUGGCCGCGAGCCGACGGGUGCUGAGAGAGUACGGGAACAUGAGUGCCGCCACGGUGAUCUUCGUGCUCGAUGAGCUGCGCCGGCGUAGGGCAAGGGGAGAAGAGGUGGCCGAGUGGGGUGUGAUGAUGGCGUUCGGUCCGGGGAUCACGAUCGAGACCAUGGUGCUGCACGCCGCAGGCAGCCUCAAGGAAAACUAG